CUCAAAAGCUCAAAUACUACUUCAACUACAACCCAGAAUCCUAGAUAAGUUGGAAAGGAGGUGCCGUGGAUGCAGAGCAGGAGCAAAGAGAAGAGGGAGAAGGAUGACUGGCAGAUCUCCGGGAACAGCCUGAUGUCGAGUUAAGCGCUGCCGCACAGCCACAUCUAGGCCUGAUGGCUGAAAGUCCCAGUGUGUGACAUUCGCAUCUGGCCGGUGGGUUAUUUCCUUGCUCGAUGCCAGGUGACUCUGGAGGUCCGACAGAGUCACCUAGAAGUCAGCUCAGAGGCAAGGAGGAAAGGUGGAAUCGAGAUGAUGCAGUCACAGUUGAGGACAUCACAAAGACAACAGCUGAUUGUGUUGAACAAAGAUCGCACAUAUCUUAAGAUUAUGGAGACAAUGCAAACGUGUUAGUACAGGAUAAUGGUGUGCAUGACCUAUAUCAUGUUGCUGUUGUUUGUUUUCCCCCAUCCUUCAGAGCAGCAACGUUCAUUGUAACUAGGGACCACCCUAAAUAAAAAGAGGAGUCGGAGAGAUGGU